AUGGGGCACCACUCCUGCUGCAACAAGCAGAAGGUCAGGAGGGGCCUGUGGUCGCCAGAGGAAGACGAGAAGCUCGUCAAGUACAUCACGGCGCAUGGCCAUGGCUGCUGGAGCUCAGUCCCAAGGGCUGCAGAGGUGCGGCAAGAGCUGAGAUGGAUCAACUACCUGAGGCCGGACCUCAAGAGGGGAAGCUUCUCGCAGGAGGAGGAAGCCCUCAUCGUCGACCUCCACAGGGUGCUAGGGAACAGGUGGGCCCAGAUAGCCAAGCACCUGCCUGGCAGAACGGACAAUGAGGUGAAGAACUUCUGGAACUCCACCAUCAAGAAGAAGCUCAUAUCGCAGGCCGUGGGCAGCCUCCACUCCGGUAACAUCCCUUCCUCUGCAGAUUUGUACUAUAACAUUCUGGAUGGGGCGGGACAAGGCAUCGCAGCUGCGGGGUGCGCGUCGCUCAACGGGCUGGACAAUGCGGCUCAAGCUGUGGCCACGCAGCCCCCUCCGUCCUCCGCGGCAUGGCUCAAUUUCACCUCCCAGCCGCUGCUCCUCCCCGUCCACGUCCCCGGCUGCGACCUCCAGUACACCGUCGACGGGGAGUUCAUCAGGCUGUGCCGCGAGGCGGCUAAUGCUUGCCCGGAGAACGGUGCCUCUAGCCUCUUGGCUCAAGAAGGCGCGGCUGAUCGGAGCUGCCUCCCGGUGUUCGCCGAGCCAAAGGGCGCCAGCGCUUUCGCCACCGAUCCGGGCAUGGGUCCGGUGGCGGACUUCAUGGACGCCAUCCUCGGGUCCUCGUCCACGUCGGCGGCCAGUGUUUCGUCCGUCGACAGCUUCUCCGCGAACACCGGAAUGCAGCUCCACUGGGUUCCCUGA
rnacentral:rRNA from 1 species